rnacentral:rRNA from 1 species
UACGGAGGGGGCAAGCGUUGUUCGGAAUUACUGGGCGUAAAGGGUUCGUAGGUGGCCAACUAAGUCAGACGUGAAAUCCCUCAGCUUAACUGGGGAACUGCGUCUGAUACUGGUUGGCUUGAGUGCAGGAGAGGAACGCGGAAUUCCAGGUGUAGCGGUGAAAUGCGUAGAUAUCUGGAGGAACACCGGUGGCGAAGGCGGCGUUCUGGACUGCAACUGACACUGAGGAACGAAAGCCAGGGGAGCAAACGGG